UACGUAGGUGGCAAGCGUUGUCCGGAAUUAUUGGGCGUAAAGCGCGCGCAGGCGGCUUCUUAAGUCUGAUGUGAAAGCCCACGGCUCAACCGUGGAGGGUCAUUGGAAACUGGGAAGCUUGAGUGCAGAAGAGGAGAGUGGAAUUCCACGUGUAGCGGUGAAAUGCGUAGAUAUGUGGAGGAACACCAGUGGCGAAAGCGGCUCUCUGGUCUGUAACUGACGCUGAGGCGCGAAAGCGUGGGGAGCAAACAGG
rnacentral:rRNA from 1 species